CACGUGAGGGGGCGAGCGUUGUCCGGAUUUAUUGGGCGUAAAGGGCGCGUAGGUGGCGCUCCAAGUCUGUGGUGAAAGCUCGACGCUCAACGGUCGAGUCGGCCAUAGAGACGUGGAGGCUCGAGCAGCUGUGAGGGGCAGAUGGGAAUUCCGGGUUCGUAGCGGUGGAAUGCGUAGAGAUCCGGAAGAACACCGGUGGCGAAGGACGGUCUGCUGGGCGAGUUGCUGACACUGAGGCGCGACAGCGUGGGGAGCAACAGG
rnacentral:rRNA from 1 species